rnacentral:lncRNA from 1 species
CCAGUCUGCCCUGAUUCAGCCUCCCUCCGUGUCCGGGUCUCCUGGACAGUCAGUCACCAUCUCCUGCACUGGAACCAGCAGUGAUGUUGGGAGUUAUGACUAUGUCUCCUGGUACCAACAGCACCCAGGCACAGUCCCCAAACCCAUGAUCUACAAUGUCAAUACUCAGCCCUCAGGGGUCCCUGAUCGUUUCUCUGGCUCCAAGUCUGGCAAUACGGCCUCCAUGACCAUCUCUGGACUCCAGGCUGAGGACGAGGCUGAUUAUUAGUGCUGCUCA